GAUGAACGCUAGCGGCAGGCUUAACACAUGCAAGUCGAGGGGUAGGAGAAGCUUGCUUUUCUGAGACCGGCGCACGGGUGCGUAACGCGUAUGCAAUCUACCUUUCACAGAGGAAUAGCCCAGAGAAAUUUGGAUUAAUACCUCAUAGUAUAAUUGAAUGGCAUCAUUUAAUUAUUAAAGAUUUAUCGGUGAAAGAUGAGCAUGCGUCCCAUUAGCUAGUUGGUAUGGUAACGGCAUACCAAGGCAACGAUGGGUAGGGGUCCUGAGAGGGAGAUCCCCCACACUGGUACUGAGACACGGACCAGACUCCUACGGGAGGCAGCAGUGAGGAAUAUUGGACAAUGGGCGCAAGCCUGAUCCAGCCAUGCCGCGUGCAGGAUGACGGUCCUAUGGAUUGUAAACUGCUUUUAUACAGGAAGAAACACUCCCUCGUGAGGGAGCUUGACGGUACUGUAAGAAUAAGGAUCGGCUAACUCCGUGCCAGCAGCCGCGGUAAUACGGAGGAUCCAAGCGUUAUCCGGAAUCAUUGGGUUUAAAGGGUCCGUAGGCGGUCAGGUAAGUCAGUGGUGAAAGCCCAUCGCUCAACGGUGGAACGGCCAUUGAUACUGUCUGACUUGAAUUAUUAGGAAGUAACUAGAAUAUGUAGUGUAGCGGUGAAAUGCUUAGAGAUUACAUGGAAUACCAAUUGCGAAGGCAGGUUACUACUAAUUGAUUGACGCUGAUGGACGAAAGCGUGGGUAGCGAACAGGAUUAGAUACCCUGGUAGUCCACGCCGUAAACGAUGGAUACUAGCUGUUGGGAGCAAUCUCAGUGGCUAAGCGAAAGUGAUAAGUAUCCCACCUGGGGAGUACGAACGCAAGUUUGAAACUCAAAGGAAUUGACGGGGGCCCGCACAAGCGGUGGAGCAUGUGGUUUAAUUCGAUGAUACGCGAGGAACCUUACCAAGGCUUAAAUGUAGAUUGACCGGUUGGAAACAG
rnacentral:rRNA from 1 species